CUGCUUUGGCAGCACAUAAACUAAAAUUGGAACAACAUAGGGGAAAUUAGCAAAGCCCCUGCACAAAGAUGACAUGCAAUUUCAUGAAGUGUUCCAUGUUUUU